GUGUCAGCAGCCGCGGUAAUACAGAGGGUGCAAGCGUUAAUCGGAAUUACUGGGCGUAAAGGGUGCGUAGGUGGUUAAUUAAGUUGUAUGUGAAAACCCUGGGCUUAACCUAGGAAUUGCAUAUAAAACUGAUUAGCUAGAGUGCGGUAGAGGGAAGUGGAAUUUCCGGUGUAGCGGUGAAAUGCGUAGAUAUCGGAAGGAACAUCAGUGGCGAAGGCGACUUCCUGGACCGUUACUGACACUGAGGCACGAAAGCGUGGGGAGCGAACAGGAUUAGAUACCCUAGUAGUCC
rnacentral:rRNA from 1 species